CCAUGGUCUAAGGAAAAAUUAUCGAGUGAAUGAGCAGCCUCAUUUGUUUUACCUCAAUAACUUAAUCCACGCUUUUCAAAUAACUCUAUCACAUAAAUAAGACAAAAUAAUACAUUUCUAAUGUUUUCAACUUGUAUCUACAACAACAUAUUUGUGAGUUUAUUACCUACCUUACCAGGCACAACCGUGACCACUACCCGCUACCAAAUAGCAAUCGACGUUGUUAUUAGU